rnacentral:rRNA from 1 species
GUAGGGGAUAUUGGUAAAUGGGCGAAAGCCUGACCCAGCAACGCCGCGUGCGCGAAGAAGGCCUUCGGGUUGUAAAGCGCUUUUCUGAGGGAUGAGGAAGGACAGUACCUGAGGAAUAAGUCUCGGCUAACUACGUGCCAGCAGCCGCGGUAAGACGUAGGAGACGAGCGUUAUCCGGAUUUACUGGGCGUAAAGCGCGUGCAGGCGGCUCGUUAAGUUGGAUGUGAAAGCCCCUGGCUAAACUAGGGGAGGUCGUUCAAGACUGGCGGGCUAGAGUGCAGCAGAGGAGAGUGGAAUUCCGAGUGUAGCGGUAAAAUGCACAGAUAUUCGGAAGAACACCAGAGGCGAAGGCGGCUCUCUGGGCUGCAACUGACGCUCAGACGCGAAAGCUAGGGGAGCGAACGGGAUUAGAAACCCUAGUAGUCC